GUUUGUGUCAGAAGCCAUUUUUUCCUAAAUUUGUGGAACUUUUAAUACAGUUAACCGAUACAAUAGAUUCCAAUGUAUAUGUGAAAACCUCAUUUUUGCAUGAGCUUCUGAUUUACAAUUUAAAUAUGUUUUUUCCCUCUUUAAUCUUUCCCAACAUAAUUUGGAAAGCCCCAAACACAUAGCAAUAGCCCGUCUACGAGAAGUCAGCGCCAAGAGAUCUUUCGAUGAGAAAAUCUGGCGGAGAAGAAGUUUACAAAAGAUGGUCCACUUUUACUUUUUUGCUAUGUUAUCUUUGGCCAUCCUUCUGUUCUUCACUUCUUCGGUUUACUUUGAGCUUCAACGUUUAAUUUUGUCCGCCCAAUUUUAUACUAGUUUAUUAUUUGUCCUACCCAAGUUUGUUGCUUUUUCCUCUAAAAACAUAGAGGUAAGGAUCAAAAGAACUAUUUUCCUCGGUAAAUAAUUUAACUGCUUGUGAUUUCAAAGGCUUUAACAUCAGUCAUCGAAGAGCUAUUAUAAUUCUCAGAAUAAAUCAUCAGGUGCUUGGCUUUUCUUUCCAUUUCUGACAUCUUAUGCAUUAUAAUUAACUUGAUUUGAGAGGAAAUUAAAGAUAAGUUAAGAAAACUGACUCUUGGCAUGCUUUUGAAAGCGAUGGGGAAGAUGUUUUUGAUGUCUUGGUCAAUUAGUCUCUUAUUCUUUUGUACAAUUAUUUAUCCUUCUAUUUUCUGGUUUUUUUUUUUUUAAUAGGAAUAUGUCAAAUGAUUGGUCAUUAUAGUCACUUCGACUCUGAAAUUUCUGACUUGAUUUCUCCCGUUUGUGGGGUUUGUGUUGAUAUCUUUGCUGCUUUUCUAUUUCUGUUACUUUCUGCUCACCGUGCGUACAAGGAAAAAAAUAGAUCUGGUAAAACCAUGUGCUUGGCCCUUUGACGAUGAGAAGUUGCCAGUGGACUCUAGUUUCAAAGAUUCAAAGAUUUAAGAGAAACCGAGUUGAAGUAAAUUACUGGGAUGUCUUCGUUUUAUAAUUUGCAAAAACUGACGUUGCAAAAUUAGUGAUAGAGUUUGUGGAGAAGUAUUGUUUGAUAUGUUUUUGCCAAAGAAAUAUUUUAAAUACUUUCUACCUCUGUGAAACAUUAGCAAGAUAACUGAAUUCUGUUAUGUAUACUUUAAUACAAUUUUCUCUCAAUGAAGUUAACUAAUCUGAAACUAGGAGUGAACUUCAACAUGGAUUGUCUUCUCUCCAUAAUGCAAGUCAGUCAAACAUGUGAUAAAUCACUCAUGAGUUUUUGGUUUUUUGUAAAUAAUUGUUCGUCAAUUGUGACAAUUUCAGAUGAUCCAAUCCAUUAGAUUGUUGCAUCAUACUAACUGAAGUAGUUGUAGAGUUUGGAUUUUGAAUUUACCAAGCUGGUCUAGAGAAAAAUUAAGUUCGUCUAGGUCUGUUGAGAAUUACAAAAGUCAGGUUGUACUAAAGAACUCAUAUUACAUACAUUAUUCCUAUAUCAGCUUGAGACAGCAUCGUCUCCUCUUUAGUAGCAUUAUAAGCCGUCUUUUACUUUCGUUUUUGAGUGUAAUCUAUUGUAUUUAUGUUUUUCUUGUUCAUAAUUAUUCACUCUGUUUAAGAUGGCUUUAUUUCAUUUUCAUCCACAUUCACUUUUUACAUUUUGAUGAUUUAGAGUAUCAUUUGUUGGUCUUUUUAAUUGAUAUGUCAGUCACUGCAUAUAAUUCUUUAUUGGUGAUUUAGACUAUCAACAAAACAUGUUUAAUUAUUGUCACUUGAUUCAUGCUUGACGGUCCGGUGGAUAUGUCUCCACAUUUUGAUCGCAUUUUCACUUCUUUUAACCAUGACAAAUGAACUGUAAUCUAUUAGAUAUAUUCUCCUUUUAGAGUCUUUUUUUAAAGCAAAUAUCCUUUUAGAGUCUUAAUAAUUACUUGUGAUAUCUUUCAUGUUAUUUGAUAGAAGAACAUGCAAGGAGGAAAAGUUUAUCUGCUUCUUCAUUGAGCCAUUUGUAGGUUUAUUUCUUCUGUCAUAGGAAAUAUUAUCUGCUUCAUUGCUACUUGUGAUUCCUAACUGUGAGUAGUGAAUUUUGCUCAUUUUCAUCUUAUGAUUGGGUUGCGUCGACGUCUUCUGUGGCAGGCCUGUUAUCAAUCCCGCUCUUCCAAGGAAUAGGACUAUGGGAGAAGUUUUGUGGAGCCUGGAAUAUGCAUUGAAGCUUCAGGGAAAACAUGAAAAAACAACACGAGAAUGAUAUCCCGAACAAUAAGUCGGAUAACAAUGUGUUAAGUACAAAAUACAUCAUGGGGAGUAUGGCUGAACUUGCUGGUGUUUCAAUGAGUAAAGUUUUUUGCCAAAUGGUGAAAACUGAAAACAAAGACUUAUGUGACAUGUUAGACUGUGCCUCUUGGUUGUAUAUUUGUCUUCUCUUUGCUUUAGAUUAACGAAUAAAUGUUACAAUCCAGUAAAAUUUAUAGAAGAUACGUAAGACUUUAGAAGUUCUUGAGAUAUAUUGAUAACGUCAAAUUUUGUAAUUUAGAAUGUUCUUAAUAUCUUUAGUUU